UACAGGGGGUGCAAACGUUGCUCGGAAUCAUUGGGCGUAAAGCGCACGUAGGCGGUCUGCUAUGUCGGAUGUGAAAGCCCUUGGCUCAACUGAGGAAGUGCAUCCGAAACUGGCAGGCUAGAGUACUAAAGAGGAUCGCGGAAUUCCCGGUGUAGAGGUGAAAUUCGUAGAUAUCGGGAGGAACACCGGUGGCGAAGGCGGCGAUCUGGGUAGAUACUGACGCUGAGGUGCGAAAGCGUGGGGAGCGAACAGG
rnacentral:rRNA from 1 species